rnacentral:rRNA from 1 species
CCAGCAGCUGCGGUAAUUCCAGCUCCAAUAGCGUAUAUUAAAGUUGUUGCAGUUACAAAGCUCGUAGUUGGAUCUCAGGUCCGGCCCGGUGGUCCACCUCGCGGUGGUUACUGCCUGUUCCGACCUACCUACCGGUUUUCCCUUGGUGCUCUUAACUGAGUGUCUCGGGUGGCCGGAACGUUUACUUUGAAAAAAUUAGAGUGUUCAAAGCAGGCGCUUCGCCUGAAUAAUGUUGCAUGGAAUAAUGGAAUAGGACCUCGGUUCUAUUUUGUUGGUUUUCGGAACUUGAGGUAAUGAUUAAGAGGGACAGACGGGGGCAUUCGUAUGAUGGUGUUAGAGGUGAAAUUCUUGGAUCGCCGUCAGACGAACUACUGAGAAAGCAUUUGCCAAGAAUGUUUUCAUUAAUCAAG